rnacentral:rRNA from 1 species
GUGGAUUAGAUACCCUGGUAGUCCUGACAGUAAACGGUGCACGUUUGGUGUGGGAGGAUUCGACCCCUUCUGCGCCGGAGCUAACGCGUUAAACGUGCCGCCUGGGGAGUACGGUCGCAAGAUUAAAACUCAAAGAAAUUGACGGGGGCCCGCACAAGCGGUGGAGUAUGUGGCUCAAUUCGAUGCAACGCGAAGAACCUUACCAGGCCUUGACAUGCAUUGCUAAGUUGGUGAAAGCCAGCGACUGGAGCAAUCCAGACCUUGCACAGGUGCUGCACGGCCGUCGCCAACU